GUUGCCACUUCCCAGCAGGAAGAAGAGUGUGUUUGGUUUCCCUCCAGGUAGCUUAGUUUCUAGUAAGAAGUUACUGAGUUUUACCACAUUUGGUUUUGAGAUUCUGUUCUUGAAGUAUGGAAUGCCAAAAUGCCUUCAGUCAUUUUUUUCAGCAGCACAAAAUCCCACUGAAUAUCUCCUAACAGAGAGCACCAGUUAGGCCUUCUAUGAUUCUUUGCAUAACCCUAAGGAGACUCCCCAUUCCUAAUUUAAAGGAAUUAGUGUUCACCCUAGAUAAAUCAAUACUGACCAACAAAUGUUAGCAUAAACAUACACUUAUUUAUUUAUCUGCCCCCUAUUUUCAAAAGUAAUUUAAGGCAGCUUAAAAUAAAAAGAACAUAAAACAUUGGUAUCCUUUCAGUGCACUUUUAUUCAAUCCUCAAUAAUAAAUUUC
rnacentral:lncRNA from 1 species